rnacentral:lncRNA from 1 species
AAAAUAUUAAAAUUGUAAUAAUAAAAUUACAGUUUGCAGCAGACUUAAUUAAAAAGGAUAAGUAUGACAGGUGUGCUUGGAAUUUCCUGAAAAAACACAUUCUUUUCAAAUACAUCAGAUUCUCCAUACUUGAAAGCACACUUCUUGGGUUUGGAAGAAAUACCCAUCAUAUUCAGUAUCUCUGUACAGUAGAAGCUGGGGCUGGCCUAGUGUCAAAGCCCGGAUUUAAAAAAGAACAAAGAUAAAAGCCUGGAAAGCACAGCUCUCUGAGUAGACACAUGAAGGAAUCUGAUAUCCAACGAUAGCAAGAAAAAUGAACCUUGGGAAGCUGCAACAUCGAGUGUUUUCAGAGCACAGGAAUUCCUGUUGUCAUGGAGUAUUCUAGAAUGAAGUUUCUACAUGCUGUUGGCACGGAGAAAUAAGCAAAACAUGGUGAUUAAUUGUGCUUGGUUUUUAAACUUAAAAAAAAAUGUACAGAAAUUGUAAUAACUAUGUUGUAACAGCAAUCAUCUGUUGAAAUACAACACAACUUCGAAAGAGCACUCCAUAAAAUCAUGUAGGCUAUUUGUCUUUGUAUGUGUAUUGUAAUUAAAUGUACUUAUUAAAAUCUAAAUUGAU